CUAAAACAGAACACCUCUAGACCUACACCUCGCACACACCACCCCUACACCACUUAGAGGAGGUCACUCUGGAGGUCCCCAGCCCAGAGGUCCUCGGGGUGGAGGUCAACAGUCCAGAGGUCCGAACCAGCUUGGCCAAAAGCAGGUCACAUGUCUUUGCUGUCAUGCAGGCGCUUGAAGUUCUCCCAAGUUUCACAGACUGGGUCGAGAUCCGUUUGGGUCGUGGGCUGACACUGAGAAAUCAAGGGCUCUCGUUAAAAUUUAAGGAUUAACAAUUCUGCUGCACUCUGGGUGUUCUGAGUCUGAGGAGGUCAGAGUGAGGUGGCGAGAUGUUCUCAGAGUGAGAUGUUCAGAGGUCAGAGUGUUCUGAGCGUGGGGUGUUCUGAGCGUGAGGUGGUGAGAGUUCUCAGACUGAGGUGCUCAGACCAUUCUGAAAGCGAUGCGGUCAGUGUUCAGGGUGUUCUGAGAGUGAAGCGUCCUGAGAGUGAAGCGUCCAGACCAUUCUGAGACUGAGGCGGUCAGAGUUUUCUGAGAGUGAGGUGGUUCCCCCUGACAAAAGUUCAGAAGCCCUGGUGCUGCCAGCCCCUCUGUGAACGUAGAUCUUCUUGUUCUUGAUGAAGAGUGAAGCCAAUGUUUCACAGUGCCCCAAUUCAGGAAAUGAGAUCCUCUUGGGAGGAGGUUCAAUGUCAGAAUUUAGAAGUGGUUUCAGUUCUCAGUGGAUCGCUAUGGAUCCGCUUUAGUGUUGCGUCAGUUCCAGCUUGCAGACUAGCUCCUGCAGUCAGGCUUCCAACAAACUUUAACUGUUCUUUCAAUCUGUACCUACUUUCAGUUUUUUUUUUUACUGAUGUUUUUACAUUAAUAUAUGCUUGCAGUUUAGUUUUUUAUAUUUCCGAUACGACAUUAUCAUGGUACCCGAUUAUAUUUUAAAUUCUUUAUUUCUUUUUAAGAAAAUAUAUAUGAUGUGUGAAUAAUGAAUGAUUGGGAUGGAUAGAUUGGUUUUUUAUUCACCCCCUAGAAACAUGGGACAAUACAUGAAGGGAUUUUAUUGUGUCACAUGUUUGUAAAUUUGAUCUGUGAAGACAAAAUGAUUAAACAUGUUUUAAAAAACAAAAA